GAAGAGAGGGAGCCAUGAUUCUGAAAGGAAGACAUCUCCAAACAACCCAGCAACAGGCCUGAGAUAGUAUUCUGUGAGAUGGCUGCACAGAGGCAAAGCAGAAUGUACACGUGCAUGAAGGAAGUGAUGGGAUGGCUGUGUUGGAGCAGAUGAAUGGAAAUCAAACCACCUUGCAGGUGGCAGGGGUACAAGAUAAUGCAUAGUAUUUCUUGAAAAAGGAAUUUCAGGAGCUGCUGUUGCUGUGGAAUCAUAUGCAAGAACUGAAAGUUGUAGGACAUUUUCUGAAGCAGAAGCUGUACUCUUCUCUGCUCCCUUUGAUUGUAUAUGGAAAUGAACAAAAGCAAGGGGGAAGAGGAGAGAAACAUGUUCAUUCCAUCUCUAGCAAUGGAGUUGUGUCAGUCAGACAGAAUGGAUUUAGCCUUAAUGUACAGAGACCAAGAAGUUCAAAAUGCACAGUAAUCCUACACCAGCAACACAGCAAAUUCAGCUCUCUCCUCUGUUUUCGUGAGUAGCACAGAAUGCUCCUGUCAACUUUCAGAAAAACUAAUGUGGAUGGCAACUAGGACUGAGAAAGAGAUUCUCAUAUACUCAGUCUGAAGCCAUUUUCUAAUGGACUGUAAAUAAAAGUUAAU